ensembl:lncRNA
GUCCUGGGAUUUCAAUCUUCCUACUCUUUCUGUGUUAAAAAUGGACUUUCUUCUGUCGUGCUGAUGCUAGAAGGAGGGCUGCAUCCCUUUCUCUUUCCUCUGCUCCGCCCUCGUCAAGCCGGGGCCUACAUCUUUGCCCAUCUGGCGUCCAGGGGAAAAUAAUGGCCUGCGAUCUGAGGAGGAGACUGGGGCUCUGAAGGAGAAAUGCCUGGCCAGGUCACCAUCCAGCAGGUGCCUUGUGACAGCACACCACACAUUAUGGCCUUGAACUUCCCACCAGGCCUUCUUCGAAUAAUCCUGGGAGCAUCCUACCGACUUCACAGAGAGCCCCGGGGUUUUCAGCAUCGAUUCCCCUGUGGGUGAUAAGAACUUGAAUCAAAGGCCCCUCUGUCGUCGGAGAAAGACCUCCAGCUUUGCCUCGGCCCAGGCACUCUCUGUCCAGGUCUGGAACCCAUGCUAAUAAAAGCAAGUGUCCUUUUACAGUGCUUUCUAUAAAUCUGGUGGUGACCUUUAAUAAAAAUUUAUGACCCUAAUAAUCCUGUUCUGCACAAUCUGGUCCAGUCACCGCUCACUGGCCAGUAAUCUGCAAACCUUUCAAAUGGAGUGACUGUGCCUGGGCCCGCACCGGGGGUCCUGUUCCAAGUGAUGGGAAUGGCAUGGAGAAUGAUUAAUCCAAACUGCCCUGUGCUGAGCACAAAGCUGUUUUCCUGACGCAGGCCAUUGGGCCGGGAAUCCUAGAAAGAGCAGGAACGGAAGACACCGGAGAAUUUUCAGAGAGCCCAUUAGAGCCGCUGCUGAUCGAGCUUAGCCCCACCUGCCUGACCUUUCCCCCGGCAACCUUCUCUUCCUCCACCUCAUCAGAGGAAGGAGCCAAAAAUAGAAUGGGCUCCAUCCAUACCCAGCUGUUGUGGACAAAAUCCAGGGGCCUCUCCUGAACUCAUGAAUCUGUCCACACUUUGUUUACGGGGUUGGAGAGUGAAGUGCCAGGAGUUUGAGAAAACCUGGGCAGACGUGGGCUUUCAGCAUCUUGUUGCGUGUGAUUUAACCAAUGGGGGCACUUAUGAUCUCCAAGGAAAGGUUGCAGGCCUCAAACACCUUAUCGAGUGUUUGCUUGGCUGUCAUGUUGCAUCAGAUCAGACUGCUUUUGCUCUGAGGCUCUCUGACAGGCAAAUACAGACAUUUGUGCAAAUAGUACAAUGUACCUCAGGCCCCCACCCACAGUGCAUCCUGCAGAGGUCCCAGCUACUUCGGCUCCAUUACUUGGGGUUCAUGAGAAAGAUGCAUCCUGGGUACUUCGAGUGGGGGGUGUUUUUUCUACAAGAGAAGGACCCAUCCAAUGCCACCAGUGUCCUAGGGGCUCCUGUUAACCAGGCCGGCGAGUGCAGUCACCAUCUCAUCCUAUGCUAGGCAGCUUCAGAGCUUCCUCGUCAGUUUCCCAGUUUGAAGAAGGGACAUUUGUAAGUCAUGGGGGCACCUAUUUGCCCCAAGCUCUUCCUCUCUUUCGUGGAGGAGGGAGCAAGGAUUCUGGAAUUCCAGACCACCCCAACAAAGA